AUGAAUACAUAUAUAUUUAUUUAAUUCAUAAUAUAGCAUUUUGGAUGGGCUGGAAUAUUGUAGAGAGGGAUGAGGCUGUGUAAUCCACAGAUGCUCAUAUUUCUGUCACUAGGAGAGACACUAUUGGUCCAGAGCUCCCAAUACAAACAGGCGUGGGGUAAAGCAUUUGAUAAAAAAUAGUCCAACAAUAGUCUAAUAAAUAGUCUAGCCAAUAACAACAAUACAGCAUAUGUCUGAAGCUGGCAGACUACACCAUAAAAGGCAGUUUUGUCUGACCUGAUGGCAAUCAGUUUGGCCAACCUGUAACACACAGCCAAAUACAGCCAUUGGCUCCAAGGCUGCAGUUGGCUUCAGGAGCUAGAAAUAAGUGUAGGAGUGGUUCUUACCUACCUGCCUGACACUCUCCAUUCCUUGGAGGAAGCAGUAUCAAAUAUUUGAGUUUAUUCAAAAGUCCAUCCGUGGAUUGCUCCAUCUUGGUAGUCAUAUAUAAAUAUGUAAACCAUGGAAGUUUAGAAAAUUCACCUAGAGUGUUUUAGCCGAAAAGAACAGAUAAGUGAUUUUGCUGCAAUCUGAAUUUCACUGCAUCUAAAGAUACACAUAGAAUUGUAUAAUAAAAACACAUCCAGAUGCAGUUACUCUUACUUACAAGUAGCCAGAACCUCAAUGUGGCAUUAAAAUUUCUUUCAUACUCUCAAAACAGGUUUUACUUUAUUUUUGAUUAUUUUUGUGCUUUCUUCAAUAAGACAAUAUAAAAAGUGGAAACAAGCAUAAAUUGCAGACAUAAAAUAAUCUUCUGGUAGAAACAGUUGUGGAGAACAGGUUGAGUAGAGCAACAACAACAAAAGCUUAUGCAGUCACCUUCUUUGAAAAUGUUAAAUACAAGUCCUAUUCUCUUUGUCCAGCUGGGUUUAGCUAGAGGUAGCCAAUUACUUCUCUUAAGGUCCAUGGCAUUGCCAGGAUUCUAUAAAAGCCAAGUUAACUGAAGUAAAUAUCUGGGGCCCAUCGCACCCCCACUAAGUACUUUGUCACCAUGUUGUAUCUUAGAAGUCAUUUUUCACUGUUUGACUCAGAAUUUGGGACUUCAGAGUCAAACUUCAUUGCUUACUCCAAACCCAGUUUAAUUCCCCACUUUUUUAAGUAGGCUUAGCUUUGAGUGAUUUUUGGCUAUAACCGAAAUGUAAAUCCACCUUCAAACAACAAAGUUUGACAAGACUGAAAUGUUACUGAAAACAAUGGUGCCAUAUGCUCCAAAGACAUUUCCCCAAGAUAACUGCCAAAGAGUUUUUGAGGAGGACAAUGAUCAUUUAUUAUGUAGGAGCCUUGAUAUCUCUGCAAAAUAGAAUUAAUACAGCUCAAAUGGAGUAGUAACCAAGCUUUUCUGCCCAGGAAGUAACAAACAUCACUACGAACAUGAGAGUACAAGAGGAAACUUUCAUAAUGCAUUUUUUCAUUCAUACAUUCAUUCAAUAAACAUUAGCCAAGCUAAUGUUCCAAGCACUGUGCCAGGUAUUAACAAUAUAACAACAAUAAAAGACACAGUCCUUCCUCUCAAGGUGUUCAGUCUAGUAGGGAAGAUGAUUAUUCAUUAAAAUUUUUGGUGCAUCAGAAUCAUGAGGAGCUUGUCAAAAAUGUAAAUUCCUGCCUAUGUUCUCAGAUAUUCUGGUUAGGUCAGGAGUGGGAACCCAAAAUCAAUUCUUUUAACAAACACUAAAGGUGAUUCUAACACAGGCGGUGUGAGGACCACACUUUGAAAAACACUGCUAUACAAUGUGAUUAUUGCUGAGAGAGGGGGAUGCUUGGGGUGUCUUUGGAUCUCUAAAGAGGGAUGCAUCAUCAAGUCUAAGGAAUAAAGAGUUAGUCUGGUUGAGAGAGAUAGAGGUGAGGAAAGGUAGUCCAGGAUAGAGUCAAAAGUAGGGUGGGGAAAUUAGAUCUUUGUCCCAGGGCACUAAAAUCUAAAAGACACCACAAUAAAUGAACAGUUUUGGAGAGCCAAGGACAAGGCAAAGGAAAUUGUUCUACUGGAAUGGAGGUUGCAUUUUCUGUACUUACAGCAUUUUCACACUAUUCCUUUAAUUUAAGAAAAAUUUCUGUUGUUUACUCUGGGCAUUAAAAUUGUUAAUCAUGUUUCUGCUGCAGGCCCAGAGAAUAACUUGUGUGAAUAGUUGUGUAAAUAGUUAAACUUGGCUACCUUAAUCAAUGUGAGGGGGAAAGUGGCAAAAGAUUAAGCUGUGUAAGCAAACAGGGACAUGAAAACCCAGACUCUGUAAGGAGUUGGGACCUUCUACUGGGUGCUAAGGGAGCCAGUGAAAAGUUUGAUGAAGGGGAAAAAAAUCAUUUUUUUUUGUUUAAGAAUUUGGGGAUAUGCCCUAGGGAAGAGACAAAGGUGACUGAGAAAUGAAGGAGAAAUGAAGGACAUACAUUUUAAAGCACUGUUACGCUGUAUUGGAGCUGGGAGUAAGGAAAGAGAUUAAUAUUUAUGGCACACUUAGGAAAUGUCAAGCGCUGAGCUAAGACAGUUUACAUAUGCUAUCUUUUUUAACCUUUGAAACAGCCUUGUGAAGUAGACAUUAUUUUACAGAGGAGGAAACAGGCUCAGAGAAGUGAGGUACUUGUCCUAGGUCACAACGCUAAUAAAUGGUACAGAAACUAGGAUCAUUUGAAUCCAAAGGUUAUGAGCUUUCCACUACAGCAAACUAUUUACCAGCACUGAUGAAUUUUACUGAGGUUGUUCAUUUCCUGAUUAGCAGUAAGCACAUAUGGUAUUUAAAAUCAAAAAAGAUGACAUUGCUGCUAGAUUUAUAUUUUUGAGCCUUCCUUGUGUGUCUGCAUCAGUCUUGCCUUCCACAUUAAGUGAACAAACAAUACAUAACUGUUAUUGGGGAGGAUUAUAUACUUUGUUUCUUCCACAGAAUAGUAAGCCAUUUGGCAGCAGGUAGAGCAUUUUGUUAAUAUGUGCACUCCCAUGGCAGUAGUUUGGUACCUGGCAUCUAAUAGUUUAUUGAAUGAAUUAAUAAAUGAGCAUCCACCAAACUAGGGGAAAGGAAGAGGGGAGUUUUGACAUUUCAAGUCUCCAAUCUGAGGGAGUUGUUAUGGCUACCACUUUGUAAUUUUACAACAGUAAUAUUUUCACAAAUCCCAGAAGACUUCCGAAGCCAACUUAGCUCCUGGAAAGGGGAAAGCUCUGGCUCUCUGACAUCCCCAAUCCCUUCGAUGGAAAUUUAAAAAAAAAAAUCAUAGACUACAAGGCUCCAUUCCCUUCAACUAUACUGGUUAGGACUGGGAUGAAGUUUGUCUCCAUUUGCGUGGAGGGAUUGGCUAAGAGAAUGAAUACUGUAAACAAGAUUGCAAAAGGAAUGAUUAUUUAUCCUAUUUAAGAAAACAAACUGUUUUCAGACAUUCUUGAGCACUUCAGAAGUGUUUUAUCUGAAAAAGCAAGUACAUUUAUAUGGGAAUAGUUGGUGCAUCAAUAAUACUCAAUUUUUACUGAUUAAGUAAAGUAGGUUCCUAAAGAGCCUUCACUGUGCAACUUUUUAAAAGCCUAAUUCUCAUAACUGUGUGUACUUGGGAGUAGUAAAACUUUUUUUUUAAUAGUCUAUGACAGAAUUUUUAACAAUUCAGAUGGCCAUCCUCAAGUAGGUAGCAUCACUUCUACCUGAUCAAUUUUCUAUCCAGCAACAGCAUCUCUUGUGCAAUCUUGUCUGUAAAUCUCUGCUAAUCCAAUAAAGCUCUUCCCAUUAUCUGUGUCAUGGUUGCAUGUGUAUGUGUGCGUGACAGGAGGGAGGAAGGCAAUGAUGGAUAGAGGGAGGAAAUAAAUGUUGAUUGAUUUUGAUGUUUCCUUUAGGGGACAAAAAUGGAUGGUGUAACUUAUUUUCCCUUCCAGUAUAUUUCUCACUCAAAUUAGCAAAUUAAAAAGUUUUUUGUUCUAGUUCGAGGUGGUGUUUGGAAAAAAAAGUUUUUUGUGUAUAUGUAAUAUACACAUUCAUGGUUUCCUAACAAACCCUUGAUGAUAGGUUUUCAUCAAAAGUAAAAUAUAAUAUGUGAUAAUUUGACACUGUUCAAAAUUCUACAUGGCCAAACUGGCCAGUACUAGAAAGGCUGACCACCCCCCGCUCUGGCUUGCUAGCUCCUUAUUCAGGGCACCUUUCCACAUUAUUUAACUAGAAUUACCCUAAUUGCUUCCAAUAUAAUUUAUAUUCUUAAAUCAUUGGGAAUUUUUAAUUCUCCAAUGACAACAGAGGCAUUUUCUAAAUUUUUCUCCAAUGGCUUGAACGCAGACUACUCAGAUAAUUUGUUCUGAAAAACUCAAUAAAUUAAUUCAAAUACAAGCUUUAAUGCACAAAAAUUAAAUCUGCAAUAUCUAGUUAUUUUGGAUGCUUCAAACAAACUUUAUUUUGUGUCUCGUAUAUUG
rnacentral:lncRNA from 10 species